UGCAAGAUCUUGCCGAUUUCAACGUUUUUCCACCUCUUCGGUUGGCGUACGCUGAACUGGACUCUCGAAGCAAGAAUGGCACGUGGGAAUUGACACCGCGAUCGUGGAACACAUGGCUGAUCUGCCUCGAAUAACUGCAAGCCGGCGCGUGCGUAGUGCCGUGGAGAACGAUCAGA
rnacentral:lncRNA from 1 species